UACAACUUGUUUAUCUAUUUAUUUUCUAAUAUGGUAUCAGAGCAGUUCCUCCUUGGCAACAGUAGUAUCGCCGUGUGUUAGCCAAGCGGCCACAGUAACACGGUGCCUCAAGAGGAGUCAUUGAAGAAGCACAAUACAUGGAUUCAGAGCCAGUGCUAAUGAGCAUCGUCGCACCGUCUUGGCUCUGCUCAUCCACUCCUUCAUCGCCUAUCUUGCUUUUCUUCGCCGGCCUUGCUCCCUCUCCUAUUUGCUGCCUACAGCAGACACUCUUCGUCGCCGUCACUCAAGGAGGAAAACAUUCUCUCACUGCCUCCUCAAUAGCGGUGAACGGCGAACAACAGUGUCUUCCUCGCUUCCCGGCCAACAGCAGUCGCAACUGCUGCAUCUUCCUCUACCGCAGUAGCUUUCGCUGCCGCUUCCCUCUACACAACAGCGCCUCC
rnacentral:lncRNA from 1 species